GACGAACCGUGCGAACGUUAUUCAGAAUCACUGGGCUUAAAGCGCGUGUAGGCGGGCCGCCACGUCGGCUGCUGAAAUCCCCCGGCUCAACCGGGGAACGGGCACCGAUACGGGCGGCCUGGAGGGGGGUAGGGGGGUCUGGAACUUCCGGUGGAGCGGUGAAAUGCGUUGAGAUCGGAAGGAACGCCCGUGGCGAAAGCGAGGCCCUGGACCCUUACUGACGCUGAGACGCGAAAGCCAGGGGAGCGAACGGG
rnacentral:rRNA from 1 species